rnacentral:rRNA from 1 species
UACGUAGGGGGCAAGCGUUGUCCGGAUUUAUUGGGCGUAAAGAGCGUGUAGGCGGCCAGGUAGGUCUGCUGUGAAAACUCGAGGCUUAACCUCGAGAUGUCGGCGGAAACCAUCUGGCUAGAGUCCGGAAGAGGAGAAUGGAAUUCCCGGUGUAGCGGUGAAAUGCGCAGAUAUCGGGAAGAACACCCGUGGCGAAGGCGGUUCUCUGGGACGGUACUGACGCUGAGACGCGAAAGCGUGGGGAGCGAUCCGG